rnacentral:lncRNA from 1 species
ACUGCCCGGGAAUCCAGCACUGCCCCGGGACCGCCACAUUACGCGGGGAACCAACACUGCCCCGGAAUCCAACACUGCCCAGGGACCGCCGCACUGCCCGGGGAACCAACACCGCCCGGGGAAUCAACACAACCCAGGGAUCUCCCACAUUGCCCGGGAAACCGGCACUGCCCGGGGACCGCCACAUUGCCCAGGGAACCAACACUGCCCGGGGAACCAACACUGCCCAGGGACCUCCCACAUUGCCCGGGAAACCAGCACUGAGUGCUGGAACCGACGCCGCCCGGGGACCGACACUGCCCCGGGACCCCCACACCGCCCAGAGAACACCGUCCGGGGAACCGCAGCACUGCCUGGGGACGCCACACCGCCCAGGGAACCAACACUGCCCCAGGGAACCCCCACAUUUCCUGGGGAACAAACACUGCCCCGGGACCGCCACAUUGUUCGGGGAACCGACACCGCCCGGGGAACCGGCACUGCCCGGGGACCGCCACGUUGCCCAGAGAACGCCAUCCGGGGAACCCCAGCACGGCCUGGGGACGCCACACUGCCCAGGGAACCAACGCCGCUCCGGGGAACCCCCACAUUUCCCGGGGACCCUACACCACCCCAGGACAGCCACAUUGCUUGGGGAACCAACACCACCUCGGGACCACUACACUGCUCGGGGAGCCAGCACUGCCCGGGUCUGCCACAUCCCUCAGGGAACACCGUCCGAGGAACACAAACACUCCCCGGGACUCCCAACACCACCCAGGGAGCCCAGCUCUGCCCGGGACCCCCCUCACCACCCGGGGCCCUCAACACCCGUGCUGGCCCAGCCUGGGCCCCCCAACACUGCCCAGGACUCCCAACACCCUGCUCGGCCCCAAGGCUCAACAUUCCCCAGGACCUCACCAACACCUGUCCCUCUGCUGUCCCAAACAGCCCUCAGGAACCCCCAACACCACCUGGGACCACCAGCACUGUCCUGGGACCCCCAAAAAGCCCCAACACUCAUGCCAGCCCCAGGGCCACCANNNNNNNNNNNNNNNNNNNNNNNNNNNNNNNN